CGAACGCUGGCGGCAUGCCUAACACAUGCAAGUCGAACGAGACCUUCGGGUCUAGUGGCGCACGGGUGCGUAACGCGUGGGAACCUGCCCUUAGGUUCGGAAUAACUCCCCGAAAGGGGUGCUAAUACCGGAUAAUGUCUUCGGACCAAAGAUUUAUCGCCUUUGGUUGGGCCCGCGUUGGAUUAGCUAGUUGGUAGGGUAAAAGCCUACCAAGGCGGCGAUCCAUAGCUGGUCUGAGAGGAUGAACAGCCACACUGGGACUGGGACACGGCCCAGACUCCACGGGGGGGGGGGAGGGGGGAAAUUUGGACAGGGGGCGAAAGCCUGACCCGCCACGGCCGGGUGGGGGGUGAAGGCGUUGGGGUUGAAAAGCUCUUUUCCCCGGGAUGAAAAUGCCGUAACGGGGAGAAAAGGCCCCGGCUACCCCCUG
rnacentral:rRNA from 1 species